rnacentral:rRNA from 1 species
ACACUCCUGCGGGAGGCAGCAGUGGGGAAUUUUGGACAAUGGGCGAAAGCCUGAUCCAGCAAUGCCGCGUGAGUGAAGAAGGCCUUCGGGUUGUAAAGCUCUUUUGUCAGGGAAGAAACGGUGAGAGCUAAUAUCUUUUGCUAAUGACGGUACCUGAAGAAUAAGCACCGGCUAACUACGUGCCAGCAGCCGCGGUAAUACGUAGGGUGCAAGCGUUAAUCGGAAUUACUGGGCGUAAAGCGUGCGCAGGCGGUUUUGUAAGUCUGAUGUGAAAUCCCCGGGCUCAACCUGGGAAUUGCAUUGGAGACUGCAAGGCUAGAAUCUGGCAGAGGGGGGUAGAAUUCCACGUGUAGCAGUGAAAUGCGUAGAUAUGUGGAGGAACACCGAUGGCGAAGGCAGCCCCCUGGGUCAAGAUUGACGCUCAUGCACGAAAGCGUGGGGAGCAAACAGGAUUAGAUACCCCAGUAGUCCCA